AGAUCUGUAGCUCAAAUGGAAGAGCGCUCAUUGCAUUUUGUUUAAAUGUUUGAGAUGUGUUGGUUCGAAUCCAGCCGGAUCUG
rnacentral:tRNA from 1 species